GGACCCUGAAGAAUUUGAAAGCACACCAACAGAGGAAGAGAAUUUAACAUUUUAUCCUUUUGAUGACGACUUUCAGCACCCCAGUGCUUCACAGAGGAGUGAUGCUGAAGUUCAACAUCUGAUUCACAUGGAAAGAAAAGUCCUUUAGAACUGUUUACAGAUCCAGGGGAAAAGGUAGAGGUUAUUCUUGGAAAUAUUGGAGUUGACAUUAACCGUGCUCUUAGUGCUAAGAGACAAAGAUUGGAGACAACUGCCAGACAGUCUUUUGCGGGAGUUGAGCAGAAAAUGAAAGAAGUUUGGAACUCACAUGAAGAUGCAAUGGCACAGCUUAAUGAAGAGUCUGCUCAGGCAUUUGCAAAUCUGUUUGAGCGAUGGGAUGCGGAUUUUAAGAAAUUUCGAGAACAAUAUGAGAAACUAGUGAAUGAUUUUCAAGAGGAGGAGAAGAAUUUUCAACAAUCUAGACUUAUUCAGAACCAGAGACUGAGAACAAUUAAACAAGUACAUGAACAAUUCUUACAG
rnacentral:lncRNA from 14 species